rnacentral:tRNA from 1 species
CAGGAAAUAAUUUAAAAAAAAAAAUAUUAAUUUUGGAGAUUAAAAAUAAAGUAUAUUCUUUUUUCCUGA